rnacentral:rRNA from 1 species
UACGGGGGGAGCAAGCGUUGUUCGGAUUUACUGGGCGUAAAGGGCGCGUAGGCGGUCAGCACAAGUCAGUUGUGAAAUCUCCGGGCUUAACUCGGAAAGGUCAACUGAUACUGUGCGACUAGAGUGCGGAAGGGGCAACUGGAAUUCUCGGUGUAGCGGUGAAAUGCGUAGAUAUCGAGAGGAACACCAGUGGCGAAGGCGACUUUCUGGACUGUUACUGACACUGAGGCUCGAAAGCUAGGGGAGCGAACGGG